GUGAGCCGAAAGAUUGCUAUUUAUCCCCAUAUAAUCUCGAGUAAGCAUUUGAUUAUGUUUUAAAUACAAUACCUUAUAUAUAAUAUACUAUAAACUAAUAAAAUUCUUAUUUGUAGGGGGUAUUGGAUGUUGAUUGCGAUUUGUCCUAAAUUACAUGAAAUCUAUUGGUUUGAUUCCAUUGGUCAUCAGCCACGUGAGGAUAUUAAAGAUAUAAUUGAAACGUCUUUGAAGGCAACAAGCAUAAUAGGUGGAAAGAAAGCAAGUCGUCAACUAAAAUGGAUUACAUGUUCGUGUGUCAUACAAAGAGGAGGUACCGAAUGCGGAUAUUAUGUGAUGAAAUUUAUUUU